GGGGUUGUAGCUCAGAGGUACAGCACUUGCCUUGCAUUUGUGAGGAAAUGGGUUUGAUUCUCAUCAAACCCA
rnacentral:tRNA from 1 species